AUUGAACGCUGGCGGCAGGCCUAACACAUGCAAGUCGAACGAGUGGCGGACGGGUGAGUAAUGUCCGGGACACUGCUUGACGGUGGGGGAUAAUUACUGGAAACGGUAGCUAAUACUGCAUAUCAUCGGAUGUGCCCAGAUGGGAUUCGCUAGUGGGUGGGGUAAAGGCUCACCUAGGCGACGAUCCCUAGCUGGUCUGAGAGGAUGAACAGCCACACUGGAACUGAGACACGGUCCAGACUCCUACGGGAGGCAGCAGUGGGGAAUAUUGCACAGUGGACGGAAGCCUGAUGCGGCCAUGCCGCGUGUAUGAAGAAGGCCUUCGGGCUGUAAAGUACUUUCAGCGGGGAGGCGUUACCCGCAGAAGAAGCACCGGCUAACUCCGUGCCAGCCGCCGCGGUAAUUC
rnacentral:rRNA from 1 species